ACUUAAAUUUUAAGCUUCUACACCUAAAAAUAAUUUUAAUCCAACAUCGAGGUCGCAAUCUUUUUUAUUAAUAUGAACUUUAAAAAAAAAUUACGCUGUUAUCCCUAAGGUAAUUUAAUCUUUUAAUCAAUAAAAAUGGAUCAAUUAAUCAUAUAUAAAUGGUUAAAAAUAAUAAAAGAUCAUUAAAUUUUACUGUCACCCCAACAAAAUAUUAAAAUUAAUAAAAAAUUAAAUUAAUUAUAUAAAUAAUAUUAACUUUAAUAUUAAACUCUAUAGGGUCUUCUCGUCUUUUAAUUUUAUUUAAGCCUUUUAACUUAAAAGUUAAAUUAUAUUUAAUUUUUUAUGACACAGCUAAUAUUUCGUUCAACCAUUCAUACAAGUUUUCAAUUAAAAAACUAAUGAU
rnacentral:rRNA from 1 species